GCUAUGCCUAGGCUGAUCACCGAAAACCCGUACACCUCUACGGACUGGCAUAGCUCCUACAAAAUAGAGG
rnacentral:sRNA from 1 species